rnacentral:rRNA from 1 species
GAUGAACGCUGGCGGCGUGCCUAAUACAUGCAAGUCGAGCGAACAGACGAGGAGCUUGCUCCUCUGACGUUAGCGGCGGACGGGUGAGUAACACGUGGAUAACCUACCUAUAAGACUGGGAUAACUUCGGGAAACCGGAGCUAAUACCGGAUAAUAUAUUGAACCGCAUGGUUCAAUAGUGAAAGACGGUUUUGCUGUCACUUAUAGAUGGAUCCGCGCCGCAUUAGCUAGUUGGUAAGGUAACGGCUUACCAAGGCGACGAUGCGUAGCCGACCUGAGAGGGUGAGCGGCCACACUGGAACUGAGACGCGGUCCAGACUCCGACGGGAGGCAGCAGUAGGGAAUCUUCCGCAAUGGGCGAAAGCCUGACGGAGCAACGCCGCGUGAGUGAUGAAGGUCUUCGGAUCGUAAAACUCUGUUAUUAGGGAAGAACAAAUGUGUAAGUAACUAUGCACGUCUUGACGGUACCUAAUCAGAAAGCCACGGCUAACUACGUG